GAUGAACGCUGGCGGCGUGCCUAAUACAUGCAAGUCGAGCGAACAGACGAGGAGCUUGCUCCUCUGACGUUAGCGGCGGACGGGUGAGUAACACGUGGAUAACCUACCUAUAAGACUGGGAUAACUUCGGGAAACCGGAGCUAAUACCGGAUAAAAUGUUGAACCGCAUGGUUCAACAGUGAAAGACGGUCUUGCUGUCACUUAUAGAUGGAUCCGCGCCGCAUUAGCUAGUUGGUAAGGUAACGGCUUACCAAGGCAACGAUGCGUAGCCGACCUGAGAGGGUGAUCGGCCACACUGGAACUGAGACACGGUCCAGACUCCUACGGGAGGCAGCAGUAGGGAAUCUUCCGCAAUGGGCGAAAUCCUGACGGAGCAACGCCGCGUGAGUGAAGAAGGUCUUCGGAUCGUAAAACUCUGUUAUUAGGGAAGAACAAAUGUGUAAGUAACUAUGCACGUCUUGACGGUACCUAAUCAGAAAGCCACGGCUAACUACGUG
rnacentral:rRNA from 1 species